UACAGAGGGGGCAAGCGUUGUUCGGAAUUAUUGGGCGUAAAGGGCGCGUAGGCGGCUUUGCAAGUGACGGGUGAAAUCCCUCGGCUUAACCGAGGAACUGCCUGUCAAACUGCAUGGCUUGAGACCGGGAGAGGUGAGUGGAAUUCCCAGUGUAGCGGUGAAAUGCGUAGAUAUUGGGAGGAACACCAGUGGCGAAGGCGGCUCACUGGACCGGUACUGACGCUGAGGUGCGAAAGCGUGGGGAGCAAACAGG
rnacentral:rRNA from 1 species